rnacentral:rRNA from 1 species
AUUGAACGCUGGCGGCAGGCUUAACAUAUGCAAGUCGAGCGGGGGAGGUUGCUUCGGUAACUGACCUAGCGGCGGACGGGUGAGUAAUGCUUAGGAAUCUGCCUAUUAGUGGGGGACAACAUUCCGAAAGGGAUGCUAAUACCGCAUACGCCCUACGGGGGAAAGCAGGGGAUCUUCGGACCUUGCGCUAAUAGAUGAGCCUAAGUCGGAUUAGCUAGUUGGUGGGGUAAAGGCCUACCAAGGCGACGAUCUGUAGCGGGUCUGAGAGGAUGAUCCGCCACACUGGGACUGAGACACGGCCCAGACUCCUACGGGAGGCAGCAGUGGGGAAUAUUGGACAAUGGGCGGAAGCCUGAUCCAGCCACGCCGCGUGUGUGAAGAAGGCCUUUUGGUUGUAAAGCACUUUAAGCGAGGAGGAGGCUCUUAAGGUUAAUACCCUUGAUGAGUGGACGUUACUCGCAGAAUAAGCACCGGCUAACUCUGUGCCAGCCGCCGCCGUAAAAC